CCUCGUCAUGGAUGGGCUUCAGGGCCACCAUCAUCUGAAUGGUGGAACAGUUGGGGUUGGCGAUGAUGCCCUUGUGCCAGUCGAGGUCAUGGGGA
rnacentral:tRNA from 1 species